GACGAACGCUGGCGGCGUGCUUAACACAUGCAAGUCGAGCGGUAAGGCCCUUUCGGGGGUACACGAGCGGCGAACGGGUGAGUAACACGUGGGUGACCUGCCCUCAGCUCUGGGAUAAGCCUGGGAAACCGGGUCUAAUACUGGAUAUGACUCCAUGACGCAUGUUGUGGGGUGGAAAGCCUUGUGCGGCUGAGGAUGGGCCCGCGGCCUAUCAGCUUGUUGGUGGGGUGANGGCCUACCAAGGCGACGACGGAUAGCCGGCCUGAGAGGGCGACCGGCCACACUGGGACUGAGACACGGCCCAGACUCCUACGGGAGGCAGCAGUGGGGAAUCUUGCGCAAUGGGCGAAAGCCUGACGCAGCGACGCCGCGUGAGGGA
rnacentral:rRNA from 1 species